UGGGGAAGUGCCUCUGAACCACAAACCAUUUUGAAUGAAGUAGGUCCCGUCCGAUGGUGCAGCCAUGUUGGCAGGAGAGCCCUUACGCCUUGAAAUGGCUCUCCCAUCCUGGCACUCAGCGGUGAUGUCCAAAGCUCCCAUCCAGUUUCCUCCUGGAGAGCAGUCGUUAAUGCAUUCGUGUGUUUCAUUUUCUUGGAUGAAACACGUGU